CAGCCGCCGCGGUAAUACGAAGGGGGCUAGCGUUGCUCGGAAUGACUGGGCGUAAAGGGCGCGUAGGCGGCGAUCAAAGUCAGGCGUGAAAUUCCUGGGCUCAACCUGGGGGCUGCGUUUGAUACUUGGUUGCUAGAGUGAGGAAGAGGGUCGUGGAAUUCCCAGUGUAGAGGUGAAAUUCGUAGAUAUUGGGAAGAACACCGGUGGCGAAGGCGGCGACCUGGUCCUUGACUGACGCUGAGGCGCGAAAGCGUGGGGAGCAAACAGGAUUAGAUACCCCCGUAGUCCCUGUCUCUUAUAC
rnacentral:rRNA from 1 species